rnacentral:rRNA from 1 species
UUAAGUGACUAAGCGUACAUGGUGGAUGCCUUGGCAGUCAGAGGCGAUGAAGGACGUACUAACCUGCGAUAAGCCGUGAGCAGUCGGUAAGAGACAUUACGACUCACGGAUUUCCGAAUGGGGAAACCCACUUAGCAUAAGCUAGGUAUCGCUACGUGAAUACAUAGCGUAGCGAGGCGAACCGGGAGAACUGAAACAUCUAAGUACCCCGAGGAAAAGAAAUCAACCGAGAUUCCCUCAGUAGCGGCGAGCGAACGGGGAUUAGCCCUUAAGCAUCUUGGAAGUUAGUGGAACGGUCCUGGAAAGGCCGGCGAUACAGGGUGAUAGCCCCGUACACGAAAACAACCUUGAUGUGAAAUCGAGUAGGGCGGGACACGUGACAUCCUGUCUGAAUAUGGGGGACCAUCCUCCAAGGCUAAAUACUCCUGACUGACCGAUAGUGAACCAGUACCGUGAGGGAAAGGCGAAAAGAACCCCUGUGAGGGGAGUGAAAUAGAACCUGAAACCGUGUACGUACAAGCAGUGGGAGCCCUUCGGGGUGACUGCGUACCUUUUGUAUAAUGGGUCAGCGACUUACAUUUUGUAGCGAGGUUAACCGUAUAGGGGAGCCGUAGGGAAACCGAGUCUUAACUGGGCGUCUAGUUGCAAGGUGUAGACCCGAAACCGGGUGAUCUAGCCAUGGGCAGGUUGAAGGUUGAGUAACAUCAACUGGAGGACCGAACCCACUAACGUUGCAAAGUUAGGGGAUGACCUGUGGCUGGGGGUGAAAGGCCAAUCAAACUCGGAGAUAGCUGGUUCUCCCCGAAAGCUAUUUAGGUAGCGCCUCGGACGAAUACUACUGGGGGUAGAGCACUGUUUGGGCUAGGGGGUCAUCCCGACUUACCAACCCCAUGCAAACUCCGAAUACCAGUAAGUAAUAUCCGGGAGACACACGGCGGGUGCUAACGUCCGUCGUGAAGAGGGAAACAACCCAGACCGCCGGCUAAGGUCCCAAAGUUCUGGUUAAGUGGGAAACGAUGUGGGAAGGCUCAGACAGCUAGGAUGUUGGCUUAGAAGCAGCCAUCAUUUAAAGAAAGCGUAAUAGCUCACUAGUCGAGUCGGCCUGCGCGGAAGAUGUAACGGGGCUCAAACCAGGCACCGAAGCCGCGGAUUCACACUAAGUGUGAGUGGUAGGGGAGCGUUCUGUAAGUCUGCGAAGGUGUGUCGAGAGGCAUGCUGGAGAUAUCAGAAGUGCGAAUGCUGACGUAAGUAACGAUAAAGGGGGUGAAAAGCCUCCUCGCCGGAAGACCAAGGGUUCCUGUCCAACGUUAAUCGGGGCAGGGUGAGUCGACCCCUAAGGCGAGGCCGAAAGGCGUAGUCGAUGGGAAGCAGGUUAAUAUUCCUGCACGACUUGUAAUUGCGAUGGGGGACGGAGAAGGCUAGGUGGGCCAGGCGACGGUUGUCCUGGUGAAAGUGCGUAGGUGGUGUUUCUAGGCAAAUCCGGAGACACAACACUGAGACACGAGACGAACACACUACGGUGUGGAAGCCAUUGAUGCCCUGCUUCCAGGAAAAGCCUCUAAGCUUCAGAUUACAAGUCAUCGUACCCCAAACCGACACAGGUGGUCGGGUAGAGAAUACCAAGGCGCUUGAGAGAACUCGGGUGAAGGAACUAGGCAAAAUAGAACCGUAACUUCGGGAGAAGGUUCGCUCUUGACAGUGAAGUCCCUUGCGGAUGGAGCAGUUGGGAGUCGCAGUGACCAGAUGGCUGGGACUGUUUAUCAAAAACACAGCACUCUGCAAACACGAAAGUGGACGUAUAGGGUGUGACACCUGCCCGGUGCCGGAAGGUUAAUUGAUGGGGUUAGCGCAAGCGAAGCUCUUGAUCGAAGCCCCGGUAAACGGCGGCCGUAACUAUAACGGUCCUAAGGUAGCGAAAUUCCUUGUCGGGUAAGUUCCGACCUGCACGAAUGGUGUAACCAUGGCCAUGCUGUCUCCACCCGAGACUCAGUGAAAUCGAAUUCGCCGUGAAGAUGCGGUGUACCCGCGGCUAGACGGAAAGACCCCGUGAACCUUUACUACAGCUUGGCACUGAACAUUGAACCUACAUGUGUAGGAUAGGUGGGAGGCUUUGAAGGCGUGACGCCAGUUGCGCUGGAGCCGUCCUUGAAAUACCACCCUUGUAUGUUUGAUGUUCUAACGCAGGCCCGUGAAUCCGGGUCGCGGACAGUGCCUGGUGGGUAGUUUGACUGGGGCGGUCUCCUCCCAAAGAGUAACGGAGGAGCACGAAGGUUGGCUAAUCCUGGUCGGACAUCAGGAGGUUAGUGCAAUGGCAUAAGCCAGCUUAACUGCGAGACGGACAGGUCGAGCAGGUACGAAAGUAGGUCAUAGUGAUCCGGUGGUUCUGAAUGGAAGGGCCAUCGCUCAACGGAUAAAAGGUACUCCGGGGAUAACAGGCUGAUACCGCCCAAGAGUUCAUAUCGACGGCGGUGUUUGGCACCUCGAUGUCGGCUCAUCACAUCCUGGGGCUGAAGUCGGUCCCAAGGGUAUGGCUGUUCGCCAUUUAAAGUGGUACGCGAGCUGGGUUCAGAACGUCGUGAGACAGUUCGGUCCCUAUCUGCCGUGGGCGUUGGAUGAUUGAAGGGAGUUGCUCCUAGUACGAGAGGACCGGAGUGAACGAACCUCUGGUGUUCGGGUUGUCACGCCAGUGGCACUGCCCGGUAGCUAAGUUCGGAAUCGAUAACCGCUGAAAGCAUCUAAGCGGGAAGCGAGCCCUGAGAUGAGUCAUCCCUGACCCCUUGAGGGUCCUAAAGGGCCGUUGGAGACCACAACGUUGAUAGGUGGGGUGUGUAAGCGCGGCGACGUGUUGAGCUAACCCAUACUAAUUACCCGUGAGGCUUAACC